UACAGAGGUCUCAAGCGUUGUUCGGAUUCAUUGGGCGUAAAGCGCGUGUAGGCGGUCCGGUAAGUCCGCUGUGAAAGUCGGGGGGCUCAACCCUCGGAUGCCGGUGGAUACUGUCGGGCUUGAGUACGGAAGAGGCGAGUGGAAUUCCUGGUGUAGCGGUGAAAUGCGCAGAUAUCAGGAGGAACACCAAUUGCGAAGGCAGCUCGCUGGGACGUUACUGACGCUGAGACGCGAAAGCGUGGGGAGCAAACAGG
rnacentral:rRNA from 1 species